ensembl:lncRNA
CAUGAUAAUAGCUAACAUUUACCGAGUGCUUCCUGUGUGCCAGGUUCCCGAAUAGGCACUGAAUUAUCAUCUCCAUUUUACAGACAUUUUAGAGAUCACUUGACCAGGUCACACAGUGUACAGCAGUUAGAUGUGGCUGCAGGUUCCAGGGAAGCUGACAUCCAGUCAAGACGGGCAGCCUCUUGCCUUGGGCCUGGUCCUCUUCAUUCUCUUUCUUCUGUUCUUGCUUUCUCUGCCUAGCAGGGGCAUUACCUGGGGUCAUACUUGAGAACUUUCUUUAACCAUCACUGUCCUCUGGGACCCUAAUAAGGUCUAUUUCUUUCCCUUCCUCUGUCUUUCUGUACUCAACAAUCACAUCCCAGUUAAUUCUCUGUAUGCAACCUUAAUCUUGUGGGUACACUUUGUCCUGUCCUCUGUGGUUUUAUUUUGGAAGGAGAGAGAAGAGACUUCACUCAAAAACAGUUAAGUAUGCAAAACAGUACUUUGCUGCCAUGAUCUCUUAAUCCUCUUCCUUCCUCUAAUGUUCAAAUGGUACCUUCUCUCUUUGCCCUACCUAGGGCAGCUGCUUUCCUGAAAUGCAGAUAUGUAGCAUCAGGGUGUCACCGGUGCCCACAGGCAGGUCUGCAGUACCGCAUCUUCAGCCCAGCUUGCCAUAUGUGGUCACUGAACUCCCUCAUGAUAACUAAAGAGCCCAACAGAAUGUAGUUUUCCCAGGAAAAGGCCAAGGUAGCCUUAAUCAGCAUCACUGGGGACCAGUCCAAAGAGAACAGGUCAGAGGAAUACCAGAGUCUACUAUCAACAUGAGGAUUGUAAAUACUUAUAUCCACAAAAAAAAGAAUCAAGUGCUCUUCACUCUCUGAUUUAUAUCACUUCAGGAAGAAAGAAGCCUUUUUGUCUCUUUAUCAAGCCUACAGUCAUGGAAUGUGUAUAUGCUUUUUUUUUUUUUUUUGAGUACUGGGGAUUGAACUCAGGACCUUGCACCUCAGAACCACUGAGCUAAAUCCCCGGCCCAGUGUACAUGGUUUCUUCAGUUUCAGCCCUUGUGAUUGCCAUUCAACAGAAGUUGCUUAUACCAUGGUCAUCUUUCUUUGUAACCAAACCUUUUGCUUGUGAUUUUGCUCUCCUAAGUGUUAAUCAUUUGUGGCACCAACAACAGCACUAGUAGUUUCUUGCUUAUCCUGACACGUCACUGACUUCUUUCUUUUUUCUAGCUUUCAGUAUUUCUGGCAAUUCUUUCCUUUGCUACCCUUGGAAAUAAAACAUCUGACAUAGUCACAAGUCAUCAGCCAUGUCUAGAUGACCAUGAAUUCCAUGUACAUAACUGCUAGUAUAACAGAAAUAUGUCCAAUUAACACUGCUAGCAGAAGACUCUCCACUUGAAUGUCUCAAAACCUUAAUAUAAUAAGUAAGAAAUGGUCAAGUAGUACUUUUAAAUGACUUGACCUAAUAGUUACAUUCCCAAACUGGAGUUAAUUGCUUGCUUCAAAACUUCAUUUUCUCCAACUAGCUUACGAAUUACUGAUAGCUCUGGACCUUGAGUUUCUUGGUUUGUUGCAUUGAAAUCAUCUGUAGUGUUCCUUCCUUCUUCCAUCUUUCCAUUUCUCCAGGGAGUGAAAAAGCUUUUAGCUGAUCUUUGAUUUCUUCUUCUAUCUAACCAUGUUAUUCUUGGGGUGUAAUAAUGAAGUUUGCAUGCCCCCUUUUAUAAUCUGAUGUAGGCCCACAAGCAUUGAUGCUUUGCUAAUAUUGGUUUAUUUAUUAUGCCUUCUUUGGAAAAUCCUUUGUGAUUACUUGUUUGAAGUUAAAAAUACUGAUUGGAUACAAGAUUCUUUUUUUUUUUUUUCAGUUUUCAGCAUAUAUCUCCAACCUGCCCUCAGUCUAUAUUUGAGUUUAAUAAAUCACAGUUUAAUUUUACUAAGCUUAAUUUUCUGCUCUGUAAAUUGAGACUAAUAAUAUUAACAAUCUCAUAAGGUUGUGGUUAGGAUUAAUUUAAUACAUGCAAUCCUUAGAAUGAUGCCAGAGUUAUAUCAAACCCUUAUUCAGUGUUAAUUAUGUGGAAAAAAAUUCAUUAUCAUCUCAUGCUGAAGACAAAUUUUUUUUGUAGUUUUCUACUAUUUUUGCAAAAAACCCCCCCCCAAACAACACCCCCAAAUCAACAGCUUUUGAAGGGUUCAUGUUUAAUUCUGGGUCUGUAAAAAACUCUUGGUUGAUUUUUAGUUGUCUUGAUCCAAUUUUAUCCUCUGUAAUGAUAGUACUCUUUAAUGAUGAUUUUUUUAAAAAAACCCUAAAAACAUACAUAUUCUCUAGAAGGUAUUUAGUAUCAAGUAUUCUAAUAAAGAGUUGCUAUGAAGCAAAUCUUUUGCUAAAGGUGAUUCUCAAACUUGAGUUUACUAAAAUGGUCCAAGAAAUAUAGUAAGGGAUUUGCACUGCAGUAAUGUCUUUGAAGUCGUCGCCUGCCUUUAAUUUUUCAGUAAGCGCCUAAUCUCAUUAGAUUUCAUACACCCAGUGUUUGCACUUGCACAAAAGCUGUCCAAACAAAGCCAAAAUGUUGACACCACCGUCCUCUGAUGGCAUUUAGAAUGAAUAUAUUAAACACACUUGCACUAGCAUUGCAUUAAGCUAAGAAAUAAAUUUUGAACUUUGAACUCAGCAGGAUAAAAAGUUUUACUUGAUAGCUGAGCAAUUGUGUUGUGGUAUCAUGGGGGGAAGUCAUUGUGUUGUUCAGAGAAUCCAAAUAUGCAAACAUGCUCUGCAUACAGUAGGCACUGCACAAGUAAAGAAUUAAAGUAAGGAACAGUCCUCAAAUCCUGUUGUUAGGGACAUAAAUGGAAGGUAAAGUGGACUGGUGGAUUUGCUUUGAAAUGCACUGAAUAAACUUUGAUUAAACUCGCUUCAGAGAAAGGCUCUGAAAGAAUACCUUCUAGUAAGUGUGUGAACUAGAGUAUGCUUUACUUCAAUCCACUCUGGUAAUUCACAAAUUUAGGCAUUUUUCUUUAGAAUCUGGAAAUUAUAUUUUUAUUAAAGGUUUGGAAACUGAUGAUUAUAGAGAACAUAAAAGAUAAGACUUCUCUGACUUUUGUCAUAAAAUAAAGAUAGCAACAAGGCUAGAAUUUGGAACCAACUAAAUCUAAUGGCUAGAGCUAUUUAGUGGUUUCUAAGUAGACAGAAGUGAAAGUAAAAGAGUUUCCCCAUAUAUUGUGUAUAAAUGUUUAUAAACCUAUAUAUCUGUAAUAUGAUCAUUAAUUAAGAAAUAUAUACCAAUGAGGAAAAUACCACCCACCAAAAUCCAUUCAUUAAAGUUUGUGCACAUUACUUAUUGAAAAUUUCAUAAUUCCUCAGCCUGAUUUCUUUUACUUUAGACAUUAUUUGCUUGAGUUUUGCUUUUUGGCUUGUGUGAAAGGAUUUCACAAGAAACAUUUUUUGAAAUUUGUUGAUACCAGCUAUUAUCAGAAUAAUGUUGAAGAUAUCUAUGUUAACUUAUUGGUUUUUUGUGGAUAUCAUGAAAAAAGUUCUCUCAGGUCUUCAUAUCAAGAGCAGUAGUAAUUUCUAUGAAUAGCUGGC